GUUUGUUUAACCAUUUCCAAACCUCUCCUCGAGGAAGCCCAGUAUUAUAUGUAGUUAAAAAGCAGCUCCUGGUUUGACCAAUCAGUGCUUCAGUAAAUUGUGCUCAUGAUGUCAUUGAUGAUAUUAACAAGUCUCUGUGGCGGCUGUGAAGGUGUCAAGGAAAAAUAUGGACCCAAGAAAUUCUUGUUAAUUUUUAUUGUUUUUAUGUUUAUUUGAAUUAUGAAUACGACUUUAUUCUAAUGUAUAUUGUGAUAAACUCACUCCUGAGGUCAAUUGUUAAAUUUGCUUAGAUGCCUAAAACUGUCACACAGUAAUGUAGGCAAACUACAGCUGAAUCACAGGCCUGUAUGAUCUAAUCAGGAAAUACCUGCUACUGUUUUGUAGUAAUAACAGUGCAGAAAGGGGCGUCUCACACCUUCAUUAUCACUUACAGAGGCAGCUGUCAGUUACUGACAGAAAGGAGAGGAAAUGGGGAGAGUUUGUAGUGAUUUUCCAGGCAGAAGGAAGACGUGAACUUUUUCACACACCAGACUUUAUGCUGAGUAUCAGGUGCAGCAGAUACAUUCUGGGACGUCAGACACCCUUUAAGAUGGAAUGGGAAAAUUUGAAGAGGAAGCGACUUCAGCCUCAUAAACAGUUGAACGCUGAGAGACAUUUUACAAGAAACUGAUCUACAUUUGAGGAAAAGUUUCCUGCUGGAGAUGCGAGAAAAGUGCCGAUAGCUGAGCUAAAGCUUAAAGCAGAGCAAAGUGAGUCUGUGUUUUCAUUUAAAUGAUAUUUAUUUACAUAUAUUAGUACAUCAGCACACACUGAGACACAUUUACAGCCAAGAUAAUAAAACAGACAUAGAAUAUUGUGGCUCCCAAGGUGGACUGAAUUUUAUUGAAAGGGCAAAAUGGCUCUUCUUAACAUGUGGUUUGCGACCUCUGAGUAUGAUUAUUAUUAAUAUUUAUUUUUUAUGUAUUUUAUUUUAUAUAUUUUUUUUGUUAGAAAGAACUAUUUUGAAAAACUCUUUAAAGGACCACUGUCCUACAUUUUUCUAAUGUUAUCCCAGGGGUUCCACAUAUACUACUAGAUAUACAUUCAAAAAGCACAGUUUGCCAUGAUAUGGGCUUUUAAAACAGUCAUAUACAACAGGUUGUUCAUCUUUGAGAGAGCCAUAUUUAAUCAAAUGGUU
ensembl:lncRNA